ACUCAAAUGAAUUGACGGGGACCCGCACAAGCGGUGGAUGAUGUGGAUUAAUUCGAUGCAACGCGAAAAACCUUACCUACCCUUGACAUGGACGGAAUUCCGGAGAGAUCUGGAGGUGCCCGAAAGGGAGCCGUCACACAGGUGCUGCAUGGCUGUCGUCAGCUCGUGUCGUGAGAUGUUGGGUUAAGUCCCGCAACGAGCGCAACCCUUGUCAUUAGUUGCUACGAAAGGGCACUCUAAUGAGACUGCCGGUGACAAACCGGAGGAAGGUGGGGAUGACGUCAAGUCCUCAUGGCCCUUAUGGGUAGGGCUUCACACGUCAUACAAUGGUACAUACAGAGGGCCGCCAACCCGCGAGGGGGAGCUAAUCCCAGAAAGUGUAUCGUAGUCCGGAUUGUAGUCUGCAACUCGACUGCAUGAAGUUGGAAUCGCUAGUAAUCGCGGAUCAGCAUGUCGCGGUGAAUACGUUCCCGGGUCUUGCACACACCGCCCGU
rnacentral:rRNA from 1 species